rnacentral:rRNA from 1 species
GAUGAACGCUGGCGGCGUGCUUAACACAUGCAAGUCGAACGGAAAGGCUCCUGCUUGCAGGGGUACUCGAGUGGCGAACGGGUGAGUAACACGUGGGUGAUCUGCCCUGCACUUCGGGAUAAGCCUGGGAAACUGGGUCUAAUACCGGAUAGGACGAUGGUUUGGAUGCCAUUGUGGAAAGUUUUUUCGGUGUGGGAUGAGCUCGCGGCCUAUCAGCUUGUUGGUGGGGUAUUGGCCUACCAAGGCGUCGACGGGUAGCCGGCCUGGGAGGGUGUACGGCCACAUUGGGACUGAGAUACGGCCCAGACUCCUACGGGAGGCAGCAGUGGGGAAUAUUGCACAAUGGGCGCAAGCCUGAUGCAGCGGCGCCGCGUGGGGGAUGACGGCCUUCGGGUUGUAAACUCCUUUCGCUAGGGACGAAGCGCAAGUGACGGUACCUGGAGAAGAAGCACCGGCUAACUACGUG